rfam:Gallionellales bacterium GWA2_60_142 gwa2_scaffold_3850, whole genome shotgun sequence.
CGGAGCGUGGCUCAGCCUGGUAGAGCACUGCGUUCGGGACGCAGGGGUCGGAGGUUCGAAUCCUCUCGCUCCGA